rnacentral:rRNA from 1 species
GUCGAACGGCAGCAUAGGAGCUUGCUCCUGAUGGCGAGUGGCGAACGGGUGAGUAAUAUAUCGGAACGUGCCCUAGAGUGGGGGAUAACUAGUCGAAAGAUUAGCUAAUACCGCAUACGAUCUACGGAUGAAAGUGGGGGAUCCCAAGACCUCAUGCUCCUGGAGCGGCCGAUAUCUGAUUAGCUAGUUGGUGGGGUAAAAGCCUACCAAGGCGACGAUCAGUAGCUGGUCUGAGAGGACGACCAGCCACACUGGGACUGAGACACGGCCCAGACUCCUACGGGAGGCAGCAGUGGGGAAUUUUGGACAAUGGGGGCAACCCUGAUCCAGCAAUGCCGCGUGAGUGAAGAAGGCCUUCGGGUUGUAAAGCUCUUUUGUCAGGGAAGAAACGGUUGAGGCUAAUAUCCUCGACUAAUGACG